rnacentral:rRNA from 1 species
UACGUAGGGGGCAAGCGUUAUCCGGAUUUACUGGGUGUAAAGGGAGCGCAGACGGCAGUGCAAGUCUGGAGUGAAAGCCCGGGGCCCAACCCCGGGACUGCUCUGGAAACUGUACGGCUGGAGUACGGGAGGGGCAGGCGGAAUUCCUAGUGUAGCAGUGAAAUGCGUAGAUAUUAGGAGGAACACCAGUGGCGAAGGCGGCCUGCUGGACGACAACUGACGGUGAGGCGCGAAAGCGUGGGGAGCAAACAGG